UACGUAGGGGGCUAGCGUUAUCCGGAAUUACUGGGCGUAAAGGGUGCGUAGGUGGUUUCUUAAGUCAGAGGUGAAAGGCUACGGCUCAACCGUAGUAAGCCUUUGAAACUGGGGAACUUGAGUGCAGGAGAGGAGAGUGGAAUUCCUAGUGUAGCGGUGAAAUGCGUAGAGAUUAGGAAGAACACCAGUGGCGAAGGCGAUUCUCUGGACUGUAACUGACGCUGAGGCUCGAAAGCGUGGGGAGCAAACAGG
rnacentral:rRNA from 1 species